rnacentral:lncRNA from 1 species
AUGAGGUCCAGACAUGAAGGAGACAGCGUCUCGUCUGUGGCAUCUCACAAUGAGAAGAGCUUUCAGCGUGUCGCGAGUUUCCAAAGUUGGUUCAGGAGAUACACUGGAUUAGGUGGGAUGCCAAAUCACUCCUGGCGACUGGUGAGAUGAGUUUCAAUGUUCAGAUGGCAAAGGGAACGUGUGUAGAUAUGGGUUGAUCAUUUGUCUUCUGGCUUAAAGAGAUUAAAAUGACAUUUCUGUCAUCAUUCAAGUUGUUCCAACCCUGUAUGAGUUUCUUUCUUCUAUGGAACACAAAAGAAGAUAUUUCAAAGAAUGUUGGUAACCAAAUGUUGUCUAGUCUCCACUGACUUCCAUAGUAUGGAAAAAGUCAAAGGCCACCAGUAACUGUUUUGGUAGCAACAAAUUCAUAAGGGGUUGGAACAAUAUGAGGAUGAAUAAAAGAUGACAGAAUUUUCAUUUUUUAUUUCCUUUAAAGGUUAAAAGGACCACCAGUAACUGUUUUGGUAGCAACAAAUUACAUAAGGGGUUGGAACAAUAUGAGGAUGAAUAAAAGAUGACAGAAUUUUCAUUUUUUAUUCCUUUAAAGGUGCAUUCAAUCUUUUUCCCCUUUAAACAAACGGAAGUAUUUCUAAACCAAUAGUACUAGUGAUUUUAAAAGUCAUCUCAGUAGCCCAAUAAAAGCCGUUUUAUUUUAGACAGAGUGAGUCGUCUCAUGGAGGCCACCAUUUUAAGACAUUUUUUAGCUGAAAACUACUAAUUUUAACCAUCAUAUCAUUGUAAACUUUUGCUUGCUGAAUAUAUUAGUCACAGUGUGAAAAUUAGCCUGUCUACAAUGUUGUUGGUAACUAAAUGCUUUAGGUUUUUCGGCAUGCUGCAU